rnacentral:piRNA from 1 species
UUUACCGUUCUCAGUCCCCGCCUCGUA